UCCAAUCAGAAGAAGACAAGUAAUGGUAACACAUUGAAGGAUUUCGAGUCGAAACCCGGCUCCUUUCUCUGGGGGUAUCAAGGCAACGACGCUGAGUCUAAGUCUAAGGAGGAGAAGCCUCUUAUGAAAGGCUUUGAGUCAAAGCCCGGCUCCUUUCUUUGGGGGUAUCAGGGCAACGACGCUGAAUCUAAGUCUAAGGAGGAGAAGCCUCUUAUGAAAGGCUUUGAGUCGAAGCCCGGCUCCUUUCUCUGGGGAUAUCAAGGCAACGACGUUGAGUCUAAGUCUAAGGAGGAGAAGCCUCUUAUGAAAGACUUUGAGUCAAAGCCCGGCUCCUUUCUCUAGGGGUAUCAAGGUCCUCUUAUGAAAGACUUUGAGUCGAAACCUGGCUCCUUUCUCUGGGGGUAUUAAGGAAACGACGCUGAGUCUAAGUCUAAGGAGGAGAAGCCUCUUAUGAAAGACUUUGAGUCGAAGCCCGGCUCCUUUCUCUGGGGGUAUCAAGGCCCUCUUAUGAAAGACUUUGAGUCAAAGCCCGGCUCCUUUCUCUGGGGGUAUCAAGGCAAUGACGCUGAGUCUAAGUCUAAGGAGGAGAAGCCACUUAUGAAAGACUUUGAGUCGAAGCCCGGCUCCUUUCUCUGGGGGUAUCAAGGCAACCACGCUGAGUAUAAGGAGGAGAAACCACUCGUGAAAGAUAAUUAAUGUCCAGGGAAGCCGCAACUUUACCUCUGAAUGAGCUACGGACAUAUAUGUCUUCUGGCUGGUCUGAUUUUCUCCAUUUUCUUUAUUGGCAUGAAAAUGUGUGAUAUGUAAUAAAUGCAGUUCUUCUUUCAACCAAGCGUUCCGUAUAAUUAAUUAAAUGAAGUCAGUACCGUUGAGUGCAUUUUCUGUUUCUUUGUUUGUUGUUUCUUUUUGCCAUUGACGGGUUUUUACUUUAAGUGCAAGUUUAAUUCCGAUUUUACACCCGUUGGACUGCAAGUAUACAGGUCGCAAUUGUAGUACAAGAUGUGUAUCGGGUCGAUCCCACGAGGAGCAAUUUAAACAAUUACUAAGCCCUUAUUCUCUCUAUUAUUUAGACUUACAAUUAAUUUGAGCAGAGAAAGUCUAAUGCUGUAAUCUACAAAUCUGAUAUACAAAUCUAGUUUAACAAAUACUGAAUACAAAUAGAGAAAUUUUACUUAAGGAAGAUUCUAGGGAUGUAGAUUCCACUUAUGGCAUAAACUACACAAAUGAAUGGAUUUACUCCUUGCUAUUAUUCUUGCUUAACCAGAGAUUUAUUUCCAAGAAUACCAAGUCUCAUUUUCAUGAUGAAAUGGCUUAGAGCAAUAUAGAUUUCCCUAUUUUCAUGGUGAAAUAUUCUACUACUCCGUUUUAUUUCAUGAAAUGCUCAAUAAUCCACCUAAGUGUAUCUCUAUUUUCAUGAACAUACAACUCAAGCUCUACUCAUGUGUUUCAAUUGUUAUUACCAAUUCUCAUUGAAUAAUAACACUAUAAACAUGCUAUUGGUGAUCAAUCAAUAACAAGUAAUCACAGCUACACAAGUAGACAAGUUAAUACAAGAUAUAACAAGUGUAGAUCACAUUCAAUUAGUAUUAUUUAGCAAUAAGUUUCAUCUACUCCCUAGAUGAAGGAGUUUAGCUACUCAUGAAUGAUUUAACAAUCAAACUCACAAGUUUAUUAAUGCAAAACAUCAUAAAGUACAAGUAUGAGAAAGAUAAAAGAAAGCUUAGCCAAUUGAAGGUGAAGCUCUCCAAUUCCUGCUAUGUUCUUGCACAAUAUGAUUAUAAGUGAAACUCUCCAAAAAAAUGCUUCUCCAAGUACUCCUAUCUAGAGAGAAAAAAUGUUACAAAAUGAAAAACUAGCUACGUAUGGUCCUCUUGGCUUCUCCCCUGUGUUUCUACAUAAAAUGUGGUAGAAAUUCCAUUCCUCUCACUUCAUAAUUUCCUCCACUCAGAUUUUGUAAAAAGAAGUCAAAGAUAUGAUGUUUCCUUUUGUCCACACUCAUUUGGUCUUCUCUUUUGUUGCAGAAGCAUGUGCCACCGAUUUCUGUCCCUCAAAAUAGCUGGAAAAGUUGUGAGAAAGGUAAAGAAAAACGGCUGUACCACUUGCUGAAGAGAGAGACAGAUCCGAGCCUCGGAUCCGAGGGCUGAAAAUGGAUCCGAGCUCGGAUUAUAGGAUCCGAGGUCUUCCCUUGAUAGAUCCGAGGUCGGAUCGUCCUGACCUCGGAUACACUCCGCCAGAAGUACAGACGAGGGGUCGGAUCCCUCUUAUACACACGGAUCCGAGCUCGGAUCCGUGUUGAGCAAUUUUCCAGUUUUUCACUUCUUCCCUUUUUCUACAUUUUUGCUCCCAAUUUCUUGUAUACUUUGUCCUCUGGAUGACCCUGACAUUUCUUUCAACUUGUGCAUGAAUUUCAUACAUCAAUUACCUUCACAAUUUCACAAAAUUAACGCAUUAAUCCACUCAUUUAUCAAUUUCUUAACCCUUAAACAAUAUUUAAGCAAUUAUCACCAAAAGAGUUCAAAUAUGGCUUUAAUCUUCUCAAAACAUACCAAAAAUUCAUGCCAAAUUCGUACAAAAUGUACGUUAAAUAUUCACUCAUCAGCCAUUUACCAUAGACAGGAAGCGCACAAAAAAUGAGCUAUUCAAGCAUGACAAGAAUCAUAGAGUGAGCGAACCAACUAUACCUUGAUAAUCUAAAAAGAGUUCUGCAAACUCGUACUCUCGUACUAAACCAGGACCAUAUAUAUAUAUAGAUAUGUCGAUUCAAUUUUCUAAUGAUGUGUGUGGUACGAACGCACAUUAGAAUUACAGAAAAUUCUAGAGUAAACUUUCACAAAAGAAGGGAAAGAAUGGAGAGCUCUUGAAGCGUGAUUGAUCGCUAUUCUUAAGAAUCCAAUUAUCCAUACUACACUAAGUAUUUGCUGUAGAGAUAAAGGUAAUUUAACUUUAGGAUACAACAAGAGAAGAAGAAGUUGAUAGCAAUAUCAAGUUUCUCAAACUAAGAAAUGAUCAAAUAAUUCUAGCUAGUUUUGACAAUAAAGGCUUGUUUUUUUACAAGUAACCUGUUUUCCACUCGUCUCUAAGUAUAUAUCCUUCGAUACGUGGCACUUAAUCCCAAUUAUUUGACUUUAAACUUCAUUCUGUGAUGUGGAUUCUAUGUGUUAGUAUAUACAAGACUAAUCUUAAACAUUACUUGAAAAUCAUAUUAUAUGUAAUUGAGUACCGCAUAACUUGCAAUUAUCCACUUACGCUCUCAAUAUUAUUGGGAUAUUACAUGGAUUUUCGUUUCGGUAACUCUAAUUAUAUAGUCUCACGAUCCAUCUUAACUGAAGGGGCCAUUAUGAAUUACCAAUUAUAUAGUCUCACGAUCCAUCUUAACUGAAGGGGCCAUUAUGAAUUAGAUGAACAUGAAGUUGAAUUUCGAUUCUCAAGCUAUUCCCUUCCUCUUUCUUCAUUGUAAGGAUUAGAGUCUCUUUUGGAGGAAAAAAACACUCUAAUUAUACAGGAUUAAAGCAAAUAGCAAUGGUUGAUAAGUGACUAAUUUACGUAAUAAUUGUAUAAUAUUUUAUAUUAUUUUUAGUCACUUUAGUUAUAUUAUUGGAAGAAAAUGAAUGAUUUUGGCUAUAAUUGGUGAAAAAUACUUUUAAAUAAUUAAAUGAGGUUUUUAUCACUUUUUACUUGGAUUUUGUGUAUUUUGAUAGUUUUGACAUAUUUUCGUAUUUCGGCUAUAACUUGAGUUACAAUGAUCGGAUUGGGAUGAUUCUUGAACCCAUUUGAAGAUAAGAGAUAGAUCUACAACUUUGGUGAAAACAUCUGAAUCCAGUUUGAAGCGUUUCCAAGUCAAAAAGCCGAAUUACAGUAGCAAAUUUCCACUGGUCGAAGCUGAAACAGGGCAAUGAGCAGGCAAGGGUAUUUCGGUCAUUUCUCAGCCUACACAGAUCCAAAUGAGGUGAUUCUUGAUGCAUUGGAAAGCUAACUCAAAGGGCUACAAAUUUCAUGUUUUGAUCAAGAGCUAAAUCAGCUUUUAUCAUCAAGAAAAGUUCAGUGGAAGUUGAUGCAAAAUUGGAGCAGAGCUGGAAAUUGAACCAGAAGUGAUCAAAUGGUCACUGUAGCAAUCCGGCAGGAAUUUGGCCGGAUUUGUGGCCGGAUUCCUGGCCGGAUUGUGGUCAGAGAAGGCUGCUCUUUACGCGGAAAACUUAAUUUCAUCUCCACCAACUCACAUGUGAUGCUAGACAUGUGAGAAACAUUCUCAGCUGUAAAAGGGAGGUGUAAACCUCACUUCUUGACCAACUUUCAUCAUUAUAUAGCAAAAGCUUGCAAGAUUGAAGGGAGAUAGAGAGAGAUACGGGAGAAAGCUUGGACUGCAAAAAAUGUAGCUCUACCAUUCUUCCUAGUGUUAGUUUAGCUUAGUAUAGAGUAGGAUAGUUCAUCCAUUCUUGUUAUUAGCUAGAUAAAGAAGAAGAUAAAGGAUGAAGAAGGCAAGGAAGAAAGCUCAUGUGACAAGGGUUGUAUUCCUUCCAAACUCUUUAUCUUUUGUACUUGAUUCCAAGUUUAGUUGAUAUGCAAGUUCUGGAUUUUGUGUUCAAUAUGUGUCUCUAAAGUUUAUACCUUGGGUUUGGUUGAACUUUCUAUAAUUGUUAGUGUUUAUUAUUUGGUUAUUUGAUUGCUAUGAUUUGAGCAAGUUAUUUAGCACUUUGGCUCUUUAAAUCAUGAUUAAUUUGGUACCAUUGAUUGUGAUUAUCUAAGGUGUUGUUUCUGCAAUGAAAAUUGAGAUUUAACACUGGUUCAAGAAGUGCUAAACAUAGGGAAUACACUCACGAGAGUAGAGCUACACCUAUGUGGUUUUAGUGAUUCAUUCCAUGUAAUUUCACUGAAGAAAUGAACUUGUAGCUAAUUUCAUAACCAUGAGAAUAGGUAUGGAUUAGUUAUGAGUAUAGUUGAUUCACUACGAAAGUAGGUUUCACAUGUUUAAGGAAAUUACACCAUAACUAGCUUAGAUGUAGUAUUCAAUGAUCCAAAUAUAGCACUUGCAUGAGUAGUUAGGGAUACCACAAUCUAAGGAGCUUUUAUUUGUUAUUUUAUAUAAUUUCAGUAGGUUAAAUUUGUUAUAAUUCAUUGAUAGUCUAAAUAAUAGAGAAGCUUUCGUAAUACCGGUAAUUGUUCACUCUUCCCUGUGGAAUCGACCCGAUAUAUACCCUAAACUACUAGUUGACCUGUAUACUUGCAGUGAAUGGGUGUAAUUCGAUUUUUUUUUUUUUAACUUGCACGUAUGUAAAAUACCCGUCAAUGGUCUAUAAAAGCAUAAAAAGUAAGCAGGCUGGGGCAUAUUUAUUAAAACAUGAAAAUAAUAUGAAAUUUUAUAAUACACAUGAUACGAAUAAUAAACUGUACGUAAAUAAUGCAAAUAUAUUCGAAAAGUACAAAGCUGAUCAAAAUACAGCUUCAUUUACCAUGUGCAUAAUAGCUGUGUGCACAUUCUAGUGAAGAUUUUUUUAUUUUUAGUGUAAGUGAGAAAUUUCGAGUUCCAAACCUUUCACUUACACUCUUUUUUCCUAUAUCAUCCAAUCCAUCCCUUCCCAUAUUUUUAUGAAGAUGAGCACAUAAUGUGAGUUUUUAUUUUUUGAGGUGAAUAACUUGUUCACAAAAAAGUUUUCUCGAUUUAGGUAAAGUUUAAACUUUACCUUGUCUAAACAACGCAAGUAGAUGCCACUAGGACUAGGGAUGGCAACGGGGCGGGGGACCCCUCCCCCAUCCCCCGCCCCGCUACCUACAAACUCCCCCCGUCCCCCGCCUCCCACUUCCCCUGCCCCGCCCCGCUUCCCCCGCGGGGUUAAUAAAAUUUUUCCCGCUAGAUUAAUAAAAUUUUAUUAUAGUUAAAUUUUAAUAAAUAAUCAAGUACUAAAAUAUCAACACAUCAUCAAGUUAUUAUUCAUUUUAAUUUUAUAAUUGAAACUCAUAAAAACAAUCAAACAAAAAUUAUUUGAAUACAAUCCAACAUGAUGAAAUAAAUAUAACUAAAAUAGUUAAGUUUUCACUUUUGGUACAAAUACAAUCACUAAUUCAUUAUUGUGUUUGUGCUUUUUUUUUUAGAAAAAGUGUUAUUCAAUUAAGUAUAAUUAGAAAUUUAGUAUAAAUGUAUUACUAAAUUUAGUAUAACUAAUUAAUAAAUUCUAUUAGUAGACAUGUCUAAUUAUUCGUAUAAUUGAUAAUAUUAAUUAUAUUACAUACACUAAUAUACAUUAUAUAAUACAUCUAACUAAUAAUAUCAUUAUCAUAAGUUUAUAACUAAUUAAAUUACAUAUUAUAUAUAAUUAUAUAUAUAAUUUUUUUUGAGGGUGGCGGGGCGGUGGAUGGGGCGGGGGUAUACUCCCCCGCUCCCCGCCUUGUUUCUAAACGGGGGAAAAAAUUCCCCCCCGUCCCCGCCCCAUCCCCCGCCCCAACCCCAGCCCCGAGAGCCCCCCGCGGGGCGGUUGCCUGCGGGCACCCGCCCCCAUUGCCAUCCCUAACUAGGACAGAAGUCAUUAUGAUGACUUCAUCCAAGGUAACGAAAAAAAAGGCGUACAAUUGCACUUAAAAUUUGUGAAUUUAUAGUACUAUUUCAUGGUUUAUCCUAGGGGUGUUUCGCGAAUCGAGCCGCUCGCGAUCGAAAACGAGCUCGACUCGAGCUCGUCAAUAUCGAGUUUGAGUCGAGCUCGAGCUAAUUAAGUCGAUCUCGAGCUCAAGCUCGAGCUCAAAAACAUUAAGCUCGUUGGCUCGCGAGCGGCUCACGAGCUCGAUUAUAUAUAUUUUUUUUUAUUUUUUAUUUUAAUAGUAAAAUUACAUAUAUCUCUAAUAUUUUAUUAUUUAUUAAAAAAAUUAUUAUUUUAUUCAUUUUUAAAAAUAAAUAAUUAUUUUUUAUUUUUUAAAAAUAAAAUAAUAAUAAUUAUUUUUUUAUUUUUUAAGCUCAAGCUUGAGCUCGAGCUCGACUCGAAUUUGACUCAUGCUCAAGCUCGAGCUCGAUAUUUUGAGCUCGUCGAGCUCGAGCUUCACAAAAUUAACUCGAGGUCGGCUCGAUUAGCCAAAGCUCGACUCGAGGUCGGCUCGUUUGCACCCCUAGUUUAUCCCCUCAAAGUUAACAACAAAUAAUGUUUUGAACCCCAUUUAAACAACUUAUGAGCGUAAUUCAAAUUUAUUGCUCCAUUAUGUGUGUACAAUGUAUCAAAACAAAAGAGUAGCAAAUUGUGUUUUAUUGCACUUUUUGUUUAGCUAGCUUCAUGCAAAUUAACCUUCGUAGAUUAUAGGUAAAGAAUUGGUUUGCCAUUCAAUGUAUCCAAGAAAUAUGUGUUAGUACAUAAUGCUUAUUUUAAUGGAUGUACUGGUGUAAAACAAAAUUACAAAUUAUUAAAUUUUAAACUUUACAAGUACUUAAAGCACAAUAAUUUUUUAUUAAAUUAAAAUUUUCCCUUCUGUGAUUUGGUAGUUUAUCUUAUAACCCCUCUAUAGUUUAAAAAUCUGUAAUCAACCUCCUCAUAAUCUGGGUUAACAUAUCAUCGUUAAUUUUUCUAAAGUUUAAGUCAAAUUAAUAUAUUGAAAAAUUUAUCCUUUCACUAAUUCUUUGAGGUAGUUACAAAACUAUUACAAUUAUUAUACACCUUAAACUAUGUAUUUGUUUUCAAGUAAACACAAAAGGUGCAACAAACCAUUUUUAGCCAAGUUAAUAAAAUUGCAAAUGUAACAAUAAAAAGCACCCUAUGAAAAGUUACUCUAUAUGAUUAAGAAAAUAAUUUAUAUUUAUUAGAAUGGAAAAAAGUUGCCAGAAGAGGGAGAGACCAUAAGAAAAAUAGUUUAGAGUGAACUGCAUCAAUCAUGCCUUCCAUCAGGGAAAAAUGAUAGAUGUGCGUGUAUAUAGGUACAUAUACGCGCAUUUAUGUAUGUGCAUGUACACGGACGUGAGGUAGUUCCUUUAAAAAGUAGCUUCUCCUGCAAUAAUCCAAAUUUUAGCACAGUGGCAGAAAUGGAAAAGUAGUAUAGGCUGAACCGAAAUCUACUAAAAUACAAGCUUGAAAUUCAGAUAGAAAUUGAAAUGCAUAAAACGUCCAGAGCCUUUUUUUUUUUUUUUUUUGAGGAGAUAAAACGUUCGGAGCUGAAAGCAGAACCAGUCUUUGAGUCGUAGUGUUAUUUAGAUUCAAGUGAAAGAGGGGGCACAGGAUACAAUACAGCAGCCAAACAGAAAUGGAAGCUUGAGCUCUUGGACCAUUUGGCCAGAACGGUAGAGCCCUAAAUUGGAACCAAUACAAAGCUUUCUGCCGGAAGAACAUGGCAAACAUGGGAGGUCCCGGAAGGCAACGCGACCAUGGUUCCGGUAUCCAUGUGACAAACAGCUUCGAUUGUCAGUAAAAUCCUGUACACGCCCGAUUGUCAGCCUGUUGAGAAUGGCAAUAAAAGAUUUAAGGAUAAGCCAUGGUUCGACAGGAUGUCAUCUUCGGAGUUAAAAUCAUUUCAGGAACUUGUAAGAUUGUGUUGUUUUUAUUAGGGAUAAUGUAUAUCUCUGUAACAGAGUUAAUGUAUAUCUCUGUAACAGAGUUGGUUAUCAGUUUGGAUUGGUAAAUAGAUAUCUAGCUGAUUAGGCGUUAUCCUUAGCUGUACUUGUAUUCAAAUAGGAUUAGUAGCUAUCGGUAGCGAUAUUCACGGUUUGGGCUGUAUGUAUAUAUCCUUGCCGAAUGCGUAAGAAACUGGAUAAAAACUUCUUCCGCUGAAACCUUUUCAUGGUAUCAGAGCAAGAACCUUCUGUCAACUGAAAAAACAUGGAAGGAGAUGGAAAGAAAAUAGUGUCGCCAUACACCUUGUAUGCCAAUGAUAAUCCUGGAAAUAUAAUCACCCAGGUACAGUUGAAGGAGGAUAAUUAUGACGAAUGGGCUAGAGCAAUCCGAACUGCUCUUAGAGCCAAGAAGAAAUUCGGAUUCAUUGAUGGAACCAUAGCACAGCCAGAUGAAGAUUCCGAUGAAUUAGAAGACUGGUGGACAGUGAAUUCCAUGCUUAUAUCGUGGAUGAUGAAUACGAUUGAGCCAACGGUGCGAUCUACUUUGACACACAGGGAGAUUGCAAAGAACUUGUGGGAAGACAUUAAAGAAUGUUUCUCAGUGACUGAUGGUGCACGAGUGCAGCAACUGAAGACAGAAUUAGCAAAUUGCAAACAGCAAGGACUCUCCCUUAUGAGUUACUAUGCUAAAUUGAAGCGACUGUGGGAGGAACUGGUGAAUUAUGAUGCAAUCUCUACGUGCAAGUGUGGGGGUUGUACGUGUAAUGUGGCAACUGAAUUAACAAAGAAACGAGAAGAAGAAAAACUUCAUCAAUUUCUGAUGGGGUUAGACGAUGCAUAUAGAACAGUGAGAUCAAACAUUUUGAGCACAACUCCAUUGCCUGGUGUGAGCAAGGCGUAUUCCUUGAUGUGCCAAGAAGAAAGGGUUCGAAAUAUCUCCAAGGAAAAAGAGAUUAACAACGAAGCGGCUAGCUUUGUGGUUCAGGCCAAAACAGGAAUCAAGGAUAGGAGUGCCGUUUGUAAAUACUGCAAUCGCGAAGGGCAUGAUGCUGACGGAUGUUUUCAGCUGAUUGGAUAUCCCGAUUGGUGGGGUGAUCGACCUAAAAUGUCUGGUUCGGGUCGAGGAAGAUAGACUGGAGGAAGAGGACGUGGCAAGAUGUCAGGAAGAGGACGAAAUGGGGCACGAGUUAAUGCAGCAAGUAAUUGAAGAAUCCACUGCUGCAACAAAGGAUUUUGCUACUCUUAAAGGACUGACAAAUGAACAAUGGGCAGCAGUUGUGAGUUUGUUGAACGCUUGCAACUCAGAAUCAGGGAGUAAUGAGAAGAUGACUGGUAAGGAAAACUUUAUCUGGAUAAUUGAUUCUGGCGCUACACAACAUAUGACAGGAAAUUCGAGCUGUCUAUCUAGCUUGAACCAGAUAUUAGGCUGUCCCAUUGGCUUGCCUAAUGGAGAACAGGUGCUGGCAUUGCAAAAAGGGUCGAUUCGGAUGGGACAAAAUAUUCAAUUAGACAAUGUUCUUCAUGCUCCGGGAUUACAUUGCAAUUUAAUCUCAGUAUCACAAUUGGUUGAUGACUCAAAAUGUAAUGUGUUGUUCACUGAUAAGCUUUGUUUGAUACAGGACCGCACUUCGAGGAUGGUGAUUGGAGCGGGUGAACGAUGCAAGGGGCUUUAUUACUUCAAGAAGGAGACGCCAGUCCAAGCACUUCAAACUCGGACGUUGGAUUCAUGUGAUCUUUGGCAUCGGAGAAUGGGGCACCCAUCUUCAAAGGUCGUAGGUUUAAUUUCUGGGAUUAAGAUUCAAUUAGGUUCAAAUGAAACUUGUGAUGCUUGUUUUAAAGCUAAGCAAACGAGAGAAGUAUUUUGUUCUAGUGAUAGUAGAGCUAGUGAAACAUUUGAAUUGAUUCAUUGUGACUUGUGGGGACCAUAUCGAGUCUCGAGUUCUUGUAAUGCAUCUUAUUUUCUUACGAUUGUUGAUGAUUUUUCGAGAUGUGUGUGGAUAUAUUUGCUGAUCGAUAAAACUGAAGUUGGCCAUAUUUUGCCAAAUUUUGUUACUAUGGUUCAACGACAAUUUGUUAAGAAUGUUAAGAUAGUUCGUAGUGAUAAUGGCAGUGAGUUCGUCAGUUUGAAGGGAUAUUUCUCUGCUAAAGGGAUAAUCCAUCAAACUUCAUGUGUGGGAACGCCCCAACAGAAUGGACGAGUGGAAAGAAAGCAUCGGCAUAUACUGAAUGUGGCUAGAGCUUUAAGAUUUCAGGCCAACUUACCAAUCAGAUUUUGGGGAGAAUGUGUGUUAACUGCUGGAUAUCUGAUUAAUCGUACCCUUUCUCAAUUACUAGGAGGAAAAACACCUUAUGAAAUGCUAUAUGGUCACUUGCCUGAUUAUCGGUCAAUUCGUACAUUUGGUUGCUUGUGUUAUGCACAGAGUUUGAAUCGUACGAAGGAUAAAUUUGCUCCUCGAAGCCGGAAGUGUAUCUUUGUGGGUUAUCCGUUUGGACAGAAAGGUUGGCGGUUGUAUGAUUUAGAAACACGGAAGUAUUUUGUGUCUCGGGAUGUUGUAUUUUGUGAAGAUGAGUUUCCAUGUGCAGUUGACCACACACCUGAUCAUGUUCGAACCUGUACGGAUAAUUCAAUAGAUGAUUACCUUGAAGAAGAGGUAGUAGGUCAGACAAGAGACAAGGAAAAGGAGCAGCCUACUCCUGUUCGUGCAACUCAUGAGCGUUUAGAUUGUGUGCCGAAUGACAAUGUCAACGUAAGGCAGGGAGGUGUAACAAUUGAACCUCGAAUAGAGAACGUAGAGACAGUAGAAGGUGUGACAGCACUUGGUCGUGGCCUUCGUUCCAAGAAAGUCUCUACACGGCUGAAGGAUUGUGUGACUUAUGCAGUUCAAAGUGCAAGCCCCUCUGCAAGUUCAGCCAAUCCAUCAUCAUUCUCAGGUACGUCUUAUGACUUAGCUCAAUAUGUUGAUUACACAAAUUUCUCACCAGGUCAUCAAGCUUUCUUGGCAGCCAUCACAACCAAUUUUGAGCCAAGAUUUUAUCAUCAAGCGGUUAAAGAUGUCCGAUGGAGAGAAGCUAUGCAAAAGGAGAUUGAUGCACUCAAACAAAAUGGCACAUGGACUCUUGUUGACUUACCACCAGGGAAGAAAGCAAUAGGAAGCAAAUGGGUGUACAAAAUUAAGUAUAAUUCUGAUGGGACCAUUGAACGAUACAAGGCGCGAUUGGUAAUUCUUGGCAACAACCAGGUUGAAGGGAUCGACUACAAUGAAACCUUUGCACCAGUAGCAAAAAUGGUUACGGUCCGCACAUUUCUCUCUGUGGCAGCAGCUAAAGGAUGGGGACUUCAUCAAAUGGAUGUUCAUAAUGCCUUUCUCCAUGGAGACUUAGCCGAAGAGGUUUACAUGAAACUACCUCCUGGAUUUCACACUGACCAACCCGGGAAGGUGUGUCGCUUAAGAAGGUCCCUUUACGGUUUACGACAAGCACCGCGUUGUUGGUUUGCAAAAUUGGCUGAAGCUCUAAAACGGUAUGGUUUUCUUCAGUCACAGUCUGAUUAUUCCUUGUUUACUUUGAUACGAGAUGGGAUCCAGUUGGGUGUGUUAGUGUACGUGGAUGACCUUAUUAUAGCUGGAAACAAAACGCAUUUGAUCAAUGCAUUCAAAUCAUAUUUGCGCAAGUGUUUUCACAUGAAAGAUUUAGGUGUUUUGAAGUACUUUUUGGGCGUUGAAGUAGCUCGAAAUGCUGACGGGAUUUUCUUGUGUCAACGGAAAUAUGCUUUAGAUAUCAUUAAUGAAGCAGGAUUGUUGGGUGCUAAACCUUCGGAGUUUCCUAUGGAGCAGAAUCAUUCUCUCGCUUUAGCCAAAGGUGAUUUGCUGCAGGAUCCUGAUCAAUACCGAAGGCUGGUAGGCCGUUUGAUUUACUUGAGCUUAACUCGGCCUGAGCUGCCCUAUGGUGUGCAUAUUUUGGCACAAUUUAUGCACCAGCCACGGAAAGAGCAUUGGGAGGCAGCCUUGCGCAUAGUCCGAUACUUGAAAGGUAGUCCAGGACAAGGCAUUUUACUCAAAGCUGAUUGCAAUCUUCAACUGAAAGCUUAUUGCGAUUCGGAUUGGGGAGGUUGUCCAUUAACUCGGAGAUCACUUACAGGUUAUUUCAUCUUUCUUGGGACCUCUCCGAUUUCAUGGAAGACCAAGAAACAACAUACGGUUUCUCGCUCUUCUGCUGAAGCGGAAUAUCGCUCCUUGGCCGCCACGGUCUGUGAAUUGAAAUGGCUAAAGGGUUUGUUAUUGUCUUUGGGAGUGCAUCAUGAUCAAUCUGCUGGAGUAUUCUGUGAUAGCCAAGCUGCGAUGCAUAUAGCUGCCAAUCCUGUCUUUUAUGAACGCACCAAACACAUCGAAGUUGAUUGCCAUUUUGUUCGCGAUGAAAUACAGAAAAGUAUGAUCAAAACGGUUUAUGUUCGAAGUCAUGACCAGUUAGCAGACAUUCUAACCAAAGCUUUGGGUCGAGAUCAGUUUGAGUUUCUUCUUCGCAAAUUGGGCGUUCGUGAUCCUCACGCUCCAACUUGAGGGGGGGUAUUAGGGAUAAUGUAUAUCUCUGUAACAGAGUUAAUGUAUAUCUCUAUAACAGAGUUGGUUAUCAGUUUGGAUUGGUAAAUAGAUAUCUAGCUGAUUAGGCGUUAUCCUUAGCUGUACUUGUAUUCAAAUAGGAUUAGUAGCCAUCGGUAGCGAUAUCCACGGUUUGGGCUAUAUGUAUAUAUCCUUGCCGAAUGCGUAAGAAACUGGAUAAAAACUUCUUCCGCUGAAACCUUUUCAGUUUUGCAAUCUAUCUGGAGUUGAUCUCGUGGGUUGUUGUGUCAAAAAGACUCCAAUAUUGGUCUCCGGACCCAUGAUUUUUCCUGCAAAUUCACCCAAUAACUCAUAGGAUGCGACACAAGUAUUCUUCUCUCCGUUGAUCGGCAUCCUCUCACACUCUCGAAGAGUAUUUUCCAUCAUCUGGGCUUUUCGAGGUCCUUGAGGAAUCGAAAAGUGUUCAAGAAUGUAAGGGAGUUGCUCUAGCUGUGGCAACUGACAAAAUUAUCCUUGAUUGCUAUUCUCUCUACAGGGUUCAAUGUAUAUGCAUGUGACAACAGUAUACCCUGUUAAUGGAGAAUUCAAUUUGGUGCUAUAUAUAGCCCAUUCUUAAACCAGGUUUUGUUUGAUUGGUUUUUAAAUUUGCCAGUGAUCAUACUGAGACCGGAUUGCCCCUGACGAAUUUGAAUUAUGGAGGCGAGUCCAUUAUUUGAUCAAGAACCACCAAGAUUUACUACAUGGCAAGCCAAGAUUUCAAUCUCAUCGAGCUCUUUUACAUUCAUUGUAUGGCAUGUACAAGAGCAUUAGUUUCGUUAAGUUAACGAUCAAUAGUUAUAAAUUCACAUGCAUAAAAAAAUAAAGUAAUUUUAGUUUAUGUACAUGACUCAGGAAAAAAUAUACCAAUAUACAGUAAUUCUUGGUAUAUAUAUUGAUUGUUAGUUCAUGUACAUAACUCAGGAAAAAAUUUUAGUUCGUGUACAUAAAUCUUGGUGUAUGUUUGUACCAAUUUUUGUGAAAGUUAAAUCAACCAAGCACAACUGGACCUGCGCCAAUCCAGGAUUUUCACUUGCCCGUCCCCCUAAUCCAAAUUUGAUGCACAUGCCAUAAAUUAAAAGAUAAAAAACUUAACAUUGGAGAAUUAAAUGUGCAAAAAGAAUAUAUAAUAUAAGACUAUUGUACAAUAUCAACAUAUGACACAUGUCUAUUGUACAACAUCGUCAAAUCAAGAAAAUACGCACACCCAGAAUACAUAGAUGUUCUAUACAGUCCCUAAAACUUUUUUUUAUAUAUACUAAUUUGAUACAGUCCACAGAACUCCAGUCUUUACCGUUACAAUUUCAACUUCUAAUUCUCUUUAGGGUAUUAAGAAGGCCUUACUUAUAAUAGGUCUGAAGAAAAGUCAAGACAAGAAGGAAAGCAGCGGCAAAUAAAGCAAUCGCUGUCCAGGGACUGUUAAAAUAAAUGUAGAAGAGUUCGGCCAGCCAUGUCUUUGCCUUCUUGUUGUAGUGUGCCUGAAUUUUCUCGUUCACAUCAUGACAAAUGGUGACAUUCCGCAUCCCGUAAGUGUUUAUGUCUUUAUAAACUGCUAGGUUUGGUUACAGGAAAUUGACAAAAGGAUUUUUGACAAUCUUAAAAAAGACAAAUAACAAAGCAAAAAUAAAUAAAAUAGAAACACAUGAAUUUACGUGAUUCGAUCAAAUUGACCUAGGUCCACGGGCGGAAGAGGAACAAUAUUUUACUAUGAAGAAAAAAGUACAAAAAUGCCUUAGGCCCAAAAAAACAAGAGAGUCCAAAAUAUUUUAUUAAACAAAAAAUUUAAUGACUCAAAGGUCUAAAUAGUCCUCUAAAUCUCUGUUGGUUUGGCAUACUUAAUCCCGUCACAAACCCAUUAUAUUUAUAGGCAACUAAGAGAAAGGCUCCCUUAUACAAAAGUCGAUAUGGGACAAUGCCACUUUAACAAAUCUCCACCUUGGCGUGUUCUCAAUAUCGACAAUAGCAAAAUUAUUCCACCUUCUCCACAUAAUCCCCAAUAGGCCUAAAUCACCAGCAACGAAUACCAACCAAAUUCAAGCAUUGAUUGAACUUAUAAAUUGGAAGAGGUUUUGUGAGCAUGUCUGUAGGAAUCUCCUUGGUACUGAUUUUCUGAACAAGGACUUUUCUCUCAGUAAUAAUAUCUCGAAUGAAAUGAAAUUUCACAUGAAUGUAUUUCGUUCUCUCAUGAUAUAUCUGGUCUUUAGUCAAAUAAAUAGCACUUUGACUAUCACAGUAAAUAGUAUGAUGAGAAUAUAAAGACCAAGGCCCAUUCAAGCACAUGGGGAAUUGGAAGAUUCAAGUGAAGACUAGUUGAUUGCACGAAUACUUGAGUUUAGUAGGAUUAUUUGAUUUUUCUCGUUGAUUUUGGUUAUUUCUCGCUUUAGAAAGUCUAGGUAAUUAAGCUAGUUUAAUUGCGGCUCAUUUGUUAGUAAGUGAUGCCCAAAAUCUUCCUUAAAGUAUGUAGGGUAGUUUGGUCAACUUUUGGAUUAGGGUUAAUGCUUGUAAGGGCUAUAAAUAGCCCCACUUCCUCUUUGUUUUAGGGGAUCAGUUUUUGACUAUUAAAUACAAUUAGUGAGUUUUCACUUUCUCUUUGGCAAGAGAGUUUCCUUUGAAUACUUGAGAAUCUUCUCAAGUUAUUCGCCUGAACUUAUCAAUCGAGUAUCUCCUUGAUUGUGGCGUUCUACUACCUCCAAUUUGGUUCGUUAAUUCGAGCAGUGACGGGUUGAGAUAAUAUCAAAAUUGUUCGUGACUUCUAGGGAUUAGUUGGGUCAAAUUUCCGCUGCCUAAACCAUGGUGUUUUGGUUGUCUAGAUCGGGGAUUCACAUCAGUUGGUAUCAGAGCUAGUCGACAACCACCAGGUUAUAUCUUUUUUUUGUUCGUGUAUUUCGAGUCAUAUAUGUUUAUCCCAAUCUGUUCGUUUGUUUAGAACCAAAAAAAAAAAAAAGUGUCACUGUUCACAGUUACUGUUCACACCAACACUGUUCAUCGUACUGUUCACCGACACUGUUCAUCAUUACUGUUCAUAGUUACUGUUCAUCCGAAUACAAAUCUGUCCAGCCUUAUUGUUUGUGUUAUCCAACUUGUUUACUUGGUUUUCAAAUCUGGAUUUUGGCAAAACUUGUUGGAAUUUUGUGAAUCUUGAAGAGAACUUACAAUAAUCUUGAGUUUCUUGCAUUCUUGAUCACAAUCUUGAAAUUUCUGAAGUUCCUGACAACUUCCUUGAAAGUUCUUGAAAGAUCUUGGAGUUCUUGGUAGUUAUUAUUUGUGGACUUCCUUGUUUUGUGUCGUGGUUAAUAGUUGUAGUAAAAAAAAAAUCACAGAAAACAAAAACGAAAAGAAAAAGAAAGAAAAGAGGAAUCGGUUGGCAAAAAAAAAAAAAAAAGGAAAGAAAGUGGCAACCGAAUUGUUUUGAAUAGGGAACCAAAUCUGAUUUAUGCAAUCUUUCUUGGAGUAGAAUUUGGAAGUUACCAAAAGUUGUUUCAAGAAAAUUACCAAAGGUUGUUUCAAGAAAGUUACCAAAAGUUGUUCAAGAGGAAAAGGAUUUUCAAAGGGUUUCCAAAAACUAACUUGUUUCCAAAAUUAAUUAGGAAACUAAGUAAAGCACUUGGAUAACUCUUUGUACUCAUUUGGACACUCUCUCUGCUACCUUUUUAGGAAACUUUCCUAAACUCUCUCAUCCAUUUCUUUUGGAAACUUUCCUAAAGUCUCCCAUCUAUUUUUAGGAAACUUUCCUAAAUUCUCUCAUACAUUUUUAGGAUCUUUCCUAAUUCUCUCAUCCACUUUAGGAAACUCUCCUAUAUUCUUUCAUCCAUUUUAGGAAACUCUCCUAUAUUCUCUUCCUAAAUUUUAGGAACACUCUCCUAUACUUUCUCCUAUAUUUUCUCCUAACUUUUAGGAACACUUUCCUACACUUUCUCCUACAUCUCCGUGAUUACUGUUGAGGAAGAAGUUGGUGACAAUUAUUUAGGCUUGAGCAGCAUUUCUCAAACUACCUAACCCAACAGGUAAAGGUGUUUGGUAAGUCCAUUGGAGCGCUUUGAGUGACAUACACGAGGGUGAGUGAUACACUAAGGGAGUGAGCGAGGCACUUUCUACUAACUGUUUGUUGAGCCUUGCAGGUACUCUAUAAACAUGUCUCAAACUCAUGCGACAAGUGACCCUUAUGACAUGAAACAUGUUCUUGAAGCAUUAACAGGCGUCAUUGAUCGCAUGGCUCAGAGAAUUGAUACACUGGAGGAUAAGGUGGAGCAAUCAACCCUAGGCAAGAAUGCCUCCAAAAGACAACCAUACGUGGAGGAGUUAGGUGAUUCGAACAAUGAGGAGGACAUGGCAGAUGGAAACCGAUUCCGGAAUUAUAAACGCAUCCCUAAUCAAGGGGAUGAUGAACUAAAAGGAAUCAAGCUCAAAAUUCCUACCUUCCCAGGCAAGUUGGACCCUGAAGCAUAUUUGGAAUGGGAGAGGAAGAUUGAGAUGCUCUUUGACUGCAACCACUACUCAGAGUCCCAAAAAGUAAAGUUGGCAACCAUUGAGUUCACUGAAUACGCAGCCAUUUGGUGGGAUCAGAUUCGCACCAGACAAAGAAGACAUGAAGAACCACUCAUUCGCACUUGGGAAGAACUCAAAAGGAUCAUGAGGAAGCGCUUCAUACCAGCGUAUUAUGAUAGGUUGCAAUUUUAUCAUUUAUUUUAUAAUUAAUUUCUCCUAUUACCUGACUUGAUGUGGGUUAAUUGCGGGAUUCUACUCACUUUUAGUAUUUUACAUUUAUUUCAGGGAGUAGAACGAAAAUAUAAUAACAUGUGCUAAUUUGACAGAAAAAGAGUCCAAGGCACAGAGCUUAUCCCGGGGGCAUUAUUGGCAAAGGAAGACUUUUGCCCAUUUUGGUAAUUUCAAAAGAAGAGAGCAGGGCAGAGGCCUCUAUUUUACUGGAGGCUGGAGCGCCGCACAAGGGGGUCUUCUUCUUCCUCUGCGGAAGGAGAGCCGCCGCGCAGAGCUUCUCAAAAGAGGACAUUAGAUAGGAAUAGAGCAAACAAUGGCAGACAACUCUUUAGCUUAGUCUUUUGACUUUUCCUUGUGGGCUCCAAGUAGCUUUUCCUUUUCCUUCUCGUAUGAUUGGACAAGUAGAAACCAUAGAAUCAAUUGCUGUAGCUUUGCUAUCUUUUCAAACAUUGGAACCGAAUUGAAUUUCCCCAAUUUCAAGGGACAAUGGCUGCGGCUCUCUUUGCAAUUUCUGGUGGGUUUAGUUCAUCAAUUAUGAACUAAUUUUCCAAUUCUAGUCAAGGAGCAACGAAGCCUUUGGUUCGCCUAAAAAUUGUGAGAUCGAUUUAAUUUAAUCUUUUCCUUUUAUUUAUUGGUAUUCGCAUAUUUCCUGGUUACAGUGCUUAUGAUUGUUUAAUUAAUUGAUUGUCUUGGAUCCGGAUAAUUAGUUAAUUUGGUAAUCUAUUGUCAAUUGGGACGUUAAAUCCGUAAUUGUUUAAUUGUCUCAAAAUAGUGAUAACUGGCAUGAUUAGGUUUGUGUCAGGGGAAUACGCGGGCUAAUCUAAAAUAACCCUGGUAGUGCGUUAUUUGGUUAGAAUAGGGCUCCUUUAAUACGUAAGGCAAUUGGGGAAUUAAAUUCUAUGGGCGUACCUAGGAUUAUUUCUCAAUUAGAGCAGUGAUUAACGGGCGUACCUUGAUCACCGACACAGUAAGGAGGGGUUGACUGUCAUCGCUUGCUUGGCAGUUAUAACCUAUUUAUUGAUAAAUAAUUGGAAUUGCCUUUGCUUAUCGAUGAUCAAUUAGGUGAACCAUUGUUGAAGUUAUUUCUUGGCUAGAUCCUUAAUUAUCACUCAUUAGAUUUUAGUAAUUUGUUAUUUAAUUUCUAGUUGGUUAUUUUAUUUUUAUUUUUAUUAUUUUACUUUUAGUUGAAUUGUUUAAAUUGUCACCCCUGAGAUAAAAACACCCCCCAUGUCACUGUGAAUUUGGAAAGGAACAAUUACUCCCAGUCCCUGUGGAUUCGACCCUGCUUACCACUAUCUACAGAAAUUAACUUUAGUUUGAGCAGGUUUUAUUAUUGCACAGGCUGACGACCUGUCAAUUUUUGACGCCGUUGCCGGGGACUGGUGCCAGAUUAAUUUGUUUCUUUUUGAGUUUAUCUUGUUUUCAUUUUUUUUAUUUUAUUUUUCUCUUUUUUUUUAUUUUUUAUGGCUGCUAACAUUCCAUAUUUUGAUGAUAGACUGGACUUUGUUCCUAAAUGGGGUUAUGAGACUCAUGUUUUUCCUAAUGAUCAAUGGGCUGUUGCAAAUUGUGGAACUUAUUUUGAUUCAGGUUAUUCAACUGACACAUGCCCCGCAUUUCAAGAUAAUUUAAGCGCUCCAAUUGAUACUUUUGGAGAUUUUCCAUCUCGAUUUCAAACGUGGUAUGACCCUUAUUCAAACGGGUAUGAUCAAGGAUGGUGGGAUAAUUCCAAUUUUGAUUAUGCGACCGGGCCAAUGGAUUUUCAACAGCAAGAGUCUCAGCAAUCAUCCUCCGUGUCAGGUAUGUCUCUUGAAGAAAUGAUGGGAUUACUAAUUGCUAAUACAAAUCGAUUUCAUCAGGAGACACAAGCGAGUCUAAAUCGAUUUCAUCAGAAGACACAAGCGAGCCUUCGCGACCUGGCGGAUCAAAUGCGUCAAUUGACAUCCAGGAUAGAGCGAUUAGCUUCUCACCUUGAAGAAUUGCCCUCACAAACCAAUAUCAAUCUUGAAGGAGAUGAGAGUGCAAUUAUCCGGCCAAAUGACAUGGAACUGCAAGAGUUUCAAGGAAACGGAUUUAAAGAUGCAGUUGAAAAGGAAGUUGAAGUGCAAAAAAUGAGACUCCAGGAUCAACUCAUUAAAGUGAAUGAAUCCAGUGAACAAUCUCCAAAUGCGGUGACAUCCCCUCCACUCUUUCAUCACUAUUCUCCUGACUCUUACUUCUCAAUUCCUGUUAAUGAAAUUGACUUUAUUAUACCAGACAAUUUUGAAUUUCAUGACAGGAAUAAAUUAAGAGUGGCGAUGGCGAGAUAUCUUGAACCAAUAAAUGCAAAUGAGGGAGAAGUGAAUGGAGAAUGCAAAUUAUCAUCGACUCGUUUGGCGCCAUUCACUAGUCCAUGGAAGCCCGUAGCUGGUAUGCUCAAGGAUUAUUCUAUUUACGAGGGUUAUCAGGACUAUAUAGAGGAUGAAGCAUUAAAAUGAGCCACACGAUUUUAUCCUCCAUGAACAAAACAUGAUAAUGUCUAGCCAAAGACAUUAAAGAAAGGCGCUCAUUGGGAGGCAACCCAAUUUCUUUUAGUUGUUUGUUUGAUUUUAUUUGUUAGUUUAAAUCUGUCUUCCUUGAAUUUGACUAAUUUUGGGUGUUAAUUUUCGUUUUACUGAUUUAUAGGUGCCCUUCAGUCAUGGCGUGCCCGCGUGGUUAUGUGCAGGAAGCUCACGAUCAGAAACUUCUGGGAGCUCUCUUGCCCUCAUGAUGUGCCCGCGUGGUGAUGUGCAGGAAGCUCACGACCAGAAACUUCUGGGAGCUCUCUUGCUCUCUUGACGUGCCCGCGUCACGUUCGCGGGAAAGGUAAAUAUUCAAAGAAACUCAAGAACGAUUAUUGAUUUCCGGUUAAUCACUACUUUUGAAUUUCAAAAAUAAAUUUUGUCAAUAAUAAAAAAAAAAGAGAUGAUAUAUGAAAAAAAAAUUUCCACCAAAAAAAAAAAAAGAAAUAAAAGAGAGGGGGAGUCUUUCCCUGAAAAAAAAAUCUAAAAUGAAAAAAAAAUGAAAAAGCAAAAAAAAAAAAAUUUCCUCUUUUUCACCGUAGCUCAGUUUUCCUUAAAAAAAAAAAAAUUCCUUUUUCCUUCUUUUUCUUUUCUUUCUUUUCUUUCUUCUUCUUUCUUUCUUCCUUCUCCCCUAUUCCUUCUGUGUCGGCCGAAGCCCGCACGCCACCAUGGCUGCGCGCCGCAGCCUGCUGCGCCGCGCACUCCACCUCUCCACUUCACAGUCGCGACCAUCUCUUCUCUCCCCUCGCACCAGCGACGACCACCAUCGCGUGACGCCACCCUCACCGCUACUGGAGCUCGCGCACCUCUGCCCAGCAAGCAGCGCCACCACAGCUCCGCGCCCAUCUCCCUCGCUCAACCCCACGCCACCUCCGUAGCAGCAGCUCUCACCUCACGGAACCCGGGUUGAGCUCGCCGCGAUUGCCACCGGCCGCUGCCCGCCGCCUCUCUGCUGAGGUCGCUCGCCGCGGCUAUUUUCUUCCUCCGCUGCGCAGUCCACCAGUGCUCCACCUUCGGCUUCAGCUCGGUCUCCACAGUCGUCGCAUGCCACCCGCUGCUGCCCCCUUUCAUUUGGGUUGUCGUCCAAGGUGGAGGUAAUUGGAACUUGUCCCCCAUUUUCUUAAUAACUAAUUGGUGCUGCCUGGGUUGCUCAAUAGUUAAUGUUGUUGACGAUUGAAGUUUAUUUUCUCAAUUGGUGAAUUCCACCAGUGGUACUGGUCGGACUAUUUUCGCUUGGAAUUGCUAUUUCUUUUGGGUUGGGUGAAAUUGUGCAAUUAAUUGGCCAACUGGAGCCAUUUGUUGGGAUUUUGGGUGAGUUGAAAUACUGCAACUGUCUAGUGACAUUUGGGCGAUUUGAUUCUGCUUUUGCAUGUUGAAUUGGAAUAUCUGGCCGCUUGUUUUACUUGUGAGAUUGGUAGCAUUUAUUAAUUAUGGAAGACAUCCUGGUGAUUGGUUAAUAUUGCUAUUUUGGGACCAUUGUUUGUGACCUCAGUGGUCGGGGUUCCUAACUGGUGGAUUAGUACAUACUUGGCACAAUCGAAUUUAGGUUAGGAGUCAAGAGGUUAAAGUGAGUAAUGUGAGUAUGAAUCCUUAGUAUGUGAGUAAUGAAUCCUUAGUAUCAUUCCCUUUCACAUGUGUGGUUAUGUGAGUAAUGAAUCCUUAGUAUCAUGCCCUUUCACAUGUGUGGUUAUGUGAGUAAUGAAUCCUUAGAAUCACCAGUUAUAAUGAAUCCUUAUGCACAUUUAAUUGACUUAAUAUUUCGUACCCACAGAUAAUCAAAGAUAUAACUGGGUGAUUCACGAGUUGGUAGAGUGUUUCUAAAUGAUAGUUGCACCUCUUCAUCACAUGAUUCUGGUUGCUGAUCAGAAUCCAAUCUUCUUCCAAUAGCUUCGUUUGGUUCAGAUUGUGUCUUUCUUGUGCCUUUCAAUCUUUACAAUUUAAUAAUUUGUUUCUUAGAUUAAUAGAGUGCAAGAAAGACAAACAGAUAAUAGAGUAAAUUAAAACUCAAGACAAAAGACCCAUAUUUUGGAUAGAGUGCAAGAAGAUAUGGUACUCUAUUAUAUAUCUGAUAGUAACAACGGAAUUGAUAGGGUCUUAAUUUGGCCAGGUCACGUGAAACCACAAUAUAUAUAUACAAUAUAUAUAUAUAUAUAUAUAUUUUUUUUUUAUUUUCAAGUACAUGUUUUGUGAGACUAUGAGCCGGUUUAGAUUGUAACUUUUGGGAAUUUUUACAGAAAAUAUAAAUCGCAUCUACAAAAAAAAAAUUAAUCAAAGAUAUAAUUGGUGAUUCAUGAGUGGAUAAAAGAAUUGAGUGUUUCCCAAUUGAUAAAGGAUAGAGUUUUUCUUAUGUAGUAGCUGGACUUCUUGCUCGCAUAAUUGUGGCUGUCCAUCUCUUUGAUUUGGAUUCCGAUCUUAUUCAAAUACUUUUGGAGGGGUAUCCUAUAUUUAGAGUGUCAAUCACAAACUUCAUUAUGUUGAUUCGUCCAAAAUCGCUCCCCAAUAACCCGUUCAAACCCACCCACUAAUUUGAAAUAGAUUUAAAUGGAUAUUCAAUUAAACUCAUUUAAUUAAUAGAUAGUAGAUUAACUCGAAUCAUUUAAACUCAAAUAUUAAACAAAUAAUUUGAAUUUAUUAUCAAUCUAAUAACAAUAAGAUGCCAUUAUUUUUUAUCAGACAACAUGUAAAAAAAAUAAAAAAAUAAAUUAUAACCAUUUAAAUUCAUUUAAAUCACUUAUUUUGACACCUCACCACUUGUUCAGCCGUUCCUUUCUUCCAUGCCGUCGCCAGUGUCUGUCAUUUCCGAUUAUCAGGUAAGGCUCUGACAUUAGUGUCCACCUGCCAUCGUGCGAUCCCAUUGAUUAACCAAGUUACAGCGCUGUCAUAUUUGUCAAGCCAUCCUUCAUUAUUGGAUCUUUUAUUCUAUAUAUGGGACCGUCCUUACUGUUCCCAUGAAAGAUUGGUUCAGAAAUGUAUGGCAGCUGUGAAAUACGUUAGCUCUCUGAAUCUUGUCCCAUAAAGAUAUGUAGCUGAAAAUCCGAACGCAUUGGUUUCACGAGAGUUUUCUUAUCCACCGUGCCUGCCAAUUUUCUAUCACCAUAUAACAGCGUUUUUAAACCAUACGGACUGACCGAUUCUAAACAUUGAACCGAGGGUCCGGUGGUUCAGUCCGAGUUAAACAAUUGAGUUGAACAGACAUUUACUGGACCUGCUCAGAAAUUGGGUUUAAAUAAAGAAAAUUGAGUUUUUAACUAUAUAUUUUGUGAGACUAUGAGCUGGUUUAGAUUGUAAUUAUUGGGAAGUUUUAUAGAAAAUAAUUGUAUGGUGUUUCCUAAUUGAUGAAGGAUAUAGUUUUUCUUAUGUAGUGGCUGCACCUCUUGAUCACAUGAUUCUGGUGGUUAUCGAUCUCUUGGAUUUGGAUUCUAAUCUUAUUCAAACAUUUUUUAUUCUUUCAGAUUAUGUCUUUCUUGUGCAUUUCAAUCUUUGUAAUUUAUCAAUUAUUUCUUAGAUUGGAUUUUGAUUCUUUUAGACUAUGUCUUUCUUGUGCAUUUCAAUCUUUACAAUUUAAUAAUUGUUUCUUAGAUUGGAUUUACAUGUUUAGUUCUAAAGUGGUCCCAUGAUCUCGCUUCGAGGUCUUCCAAGUUGUAUUUCUAGUUGAUUUCGGGUAUUUAGGAAUUUCAUAUUUUAUUACACCAUUUUUUAACUCAAUAAAAUCAUAUUUCAACUUUUGUCACACUAUUUUCCAACUCAAUUACAUUAAAAGCAAACUUGUGAGAAAUAAAACUUGUGAUACCCCAUCAACCCCUGCUCCUAUUAAUAUUACACAUGUAGAUUAUAUUUUAAAAGGAAAAUUGCCAAAUUGGUCCCUUAAGUUUUCAGAAAAAAACUUUUUUUAGUCCAUCAAAAUUAGAAUUAGUUAAAAUAGUCCAUCAAAUAUAACGCAAGAAAAGUAUCCUUUUAGUCCGCAAGCUCAUUUUUUGAUCGGUUUUCUAGUCAAAAAGUGUGUGCCUUUCUUAGGCACCCACAAUUUAUUAUGUGCAAUAAUGGUUUCUGGAUAUAGAUUCUUACAUUUCUGAUUGUUGAUCACAUGAUUUGGAUUCUGUAUUCAAAUUGUGAAACUAUUGUUUAGCAAGAUGUGUCAGUAUUGUUUAGCAAGAUAUAAUUGAUCACAAGAUGUGAAACUACCACAUACGACAAUACCCAAUUGUUUAGCAAAUCAAGCAUAAGGUUCAGACAAGUAUCAGGGUAUUAAUAGGUCCUCUAUAUUAUUUAUUUGCAGCUGGUGCCAAAUGACACUACUUAAGACUUGGAGGAAAAAUAUGAUUGCCGAAGAAUCGUUAUCAGAAUCAAAUUGUACCUUAAAUACAACUUUUUUGGAUUCUGUUAAGUUUGCAGCGAGGUGGAGAAGACCUCAAUUACAUACAAGCAAUUAACAGCAGAAGAAACAUAGCUUUAAUAUCUGAUUCUAGUAAUGGUUUCUGGCAAAGAAUACGUUGUCCUUCACGAGUAAUGUUUCUAGAAACAAUCUUUAUAUUUUUAGUGUUUAAAAUAGCUUCAAGAACACGGCAAAAGUAAACUUUGCUUUAUGGACUGAUGAGUAAACACUAUAAGAUGAUGGGUAAACAUCAACACUAUAUGUCUGGAAAGAGAGGAAUUACAUAAUUUUUAGCAACGAGGUUACCAAAAUGCUUCAGCUUAUGCUUCAUGCUAAGCUGCCAUAAAACUUUCCAUCCUUUUGCAUUUGCCUCAUUCCUACUUCCUGAAUCCUCCUGAUGAGACCUCCUCCGAUAAGGAGAAAAUUAGUUGAUUGUAAAGAUUAGGUUCUACAUUGGUCAAAGUCUCAAAGAUAAAGAUGAUAAACUUUGCCACUGGAUAAUGCCUAAUUGGCCGUAACAAAUGAAGUUAAGGUGCUUGAAGGUGACGCACUAGUGAAACCAUGCAUUCCAGGGAUAAGAAUUAAACUUGGAAAUCUGAAAGAUUACUAAAGAAUAAAUAUUAGAAUCAAUAAUAUUAAAAAAAAAAUUUCCAAAUCAAAUCAAAAUUAUUGAAAAUUGACCAAAGCUCAAAUCCAAAUCAAAUAAAUCCUUACACGUUAAACCCACGAGAAACCUGUUAUCAAGAGGUGCAAUUACCACUUGAUAAAACUCCAAUGUAGCUAUCACCUCGUGGAUCACACAUAUAUUGGGUCCUCUUAAUUAUUUUCAGUUGGUACGAAAUCAUUCAGAUAUGAUUUCCGUGACAAAUUUUGAGUGUAACGCAAUAUUCACCUCAACCAAUUGAGACAUUGUCUGAUAACCAUGAAAUUUGACUCUCCAAUUCUUGGGUUUUGCCUCUCUCUUUAUAAGGUGUAGAAUGUGGGUUUUCUUUCGAAUGAACCUGGUUCUAAAGAAUGCUAACUGGUUGACAAUUGCGGAAGUUUUUGUGCAUAUCUGUACCAUGAAGCCAAUCAAAAUGUGAAUGGACUAGACAUAAAGGGCAGUAGUUUAAAAUUUGUAGUGAAAUUAACUUAAUUACCUCAAUGGAAUUGAACUGAAAAAUGCAAUUUUCUAUUCAGACAAAAUUCAUAAGUUCUAAGUUCAUUAAGAAAGAUCAAUGCCUGUCAUAUUAAUGCAAAAUUAUUGAUAACAACAAGAAGGAUACUUUUAGAGAUGAUAUAGUCUAGAGUCCAUGCAUCUAACCCACUCUCUUGACAUAGAUCGGAGUUCAGUGAGCGUUAAACUCAAGUCUAUUGGCCAAAAAAAGGAAAAAAAAAAAAGACUCAAGUCUAUUCAAAAAACCAAAGAUUGGACUCCAAAUCAGUGAUGUCGAAUUGAUUAUCCACGGACGCUAAAACCGCCAGAAACAAGUCAUCAAGAGGUGAAACUACCACAUACGACAAUACCCAAUUGUUUAGCAAAUCAAGGAUAAGGAUCAGACAAGUAUCAGGGUAUUAAUAGUCCUCUAUAUUAUUUAUUUACAGCUGGUACGAAGUCAAUUAAUCAGAGAUACCCACCAAAUGACACAACUUAAGACUUGAAGGAAAAAUAUGAUUGCUGAAGAAUCGUUAUCAGAAUCAAAUCAUUGUGCCUUAAAUACAACUUUUUUGGAUUCGGUUAGGUUUGUGAUAGGGUGUAAAUUGUUGGUUAUUUUAUUGUUAAUUUCCCCUUUUAUCCUUGUCAAAUAUUGUUUUAAUUAUUAAUAUUUACUUAUAUUUGGUAUUGGACCCAAUUUCAGGGAUUGAAGCAGAAAAUUACCAAAAAGGAGGGACUUGUAUGGAAAAAUGCAGACUUCUAAGGACUUCAACCUUUGGGUCCUUGAAUUGGUGGGGACCACAAGCUAGUGCAAGGCAUUUAGUCAUUUGGACUUUUCAAAGAGAGCAACGUAGAGAGAUUUGGAACAACAAGUACUUUGGAGGCUUUGUCCACAUGUGCGGGGACCACGGAUAAGAAGCAUGAGUCAUUUGGACUCUAGGAAAAGAAACGUACAAGACUUUGAAUUUGGUGUGGGGACCACUAGAGAUAGCAUUAGACUUCCUUUUGGCUUUAAAAAGGGAGAAACGUACGGGAGGUUAUCAAUCAAUAGUUUAGUUUAGGUUUUUAGCAUAGUUUUAGUUUUUCUUUUCUUAGCUCUUUCGCAUGGUUGUUCUCCAUUAAUGGAGAACUAACCUCUUAAUUCUAGUCAAGGGGACAACUGAAGAUUUGGUUCAACAAUUACUGUGAGAUCGAAUCUGUUUUAAUUAUUUUCUUCAUUUAUUGGUAUUUAUAUGUUCCUUGAUUUUAAUUGCUAUGGCCUUGUGUAUGAUUGAUUAGUGCGCAAUAAUUAAUUAUUCAUAUAGGCUAUUUUGCUAAAUAGAGGUAAUUGAAUCCGUAAUUGUUCGUUAUCUCUAUCUUAGUAGCAACUGGCGUAAUUGGGUUUAUGUCAGGGGAGCAUACGAUCUAGCUUAAACAAACCCUCGUAGCGUGUUUGUUAGUUAGGAUUGGGCCUUUCUAAUUAAUAAUGCAACCUAAGAAUUAAAUCCUACGGUCGUACUUAGGGUUGUUUUUGGGUUAGAGAAAUAGCUAACGGUCAUACCUUAGCUAUCGAUAAAUUAAUGAAGGGUUGGUUGUUUAUCGCGUGCAUGACAACUAUAACCAAUCUAUUAAUAAAUGUUGGGAUUAUUUUUGCAUCAAUGAUCAGUGCAUGAACCAUUUCUGAAGUAUACCCUUGGCUAAAGUUUCUCUUAGUUAUUUCUUUUAAUUAAUUAUUUUCUGCAGUUAAUUUAUUUAGUUAGCUUUUAAUCCAAAACCCCCCAUACUUUGGACUCUAGAAGAAACGAAUUAUCCCCAGUCUCUGUGGAUUCGACCCUACUCAUCGCUAUAUACAAAAUCUGUAUUUUUCUCGAGUAGGUAUUUAUUAUUGCACAGGUUCGGCACCUGUCAAUUUUUGGCGCCGUUGCCGGGGACUGGUGUCAGAUUAAUUUGUUUCUUUUUUAAGUUCACCUUGUUUUCAUUUUUAACUUAUUUCUCUUAUUUUUUUUAUUAUAUAGUUCAUGGCUUCUAACACUCCGUAUUUUGGUGAUAUACUGGAUUUUGUUUUCGGGGAAGGCAAUGAGACUGAUUGUUUUUCUAAGUUUGCAUAUUUAGAGGCAAUAAACUCUAUUAAAAAAAGAAUGGCUGCUGCAACCUGUGAAAUUUGUUAUGCCAGGGAUCAUUCAACCGGUAUGUGCCCCGAAUAUCAAGAUGAUCUGAGUGUCCCAUUCAAUAAUUAUGGAGAUUUUUCACCCUGGUCUCAAACGUGGUAUAACCCUAAUCCAAACGGGUAUGAUCAAGGAUGGUGGGAUAACUCCAGUUAUGAUUAUACAACAGGGCCAAUGAAUUUUCAGCAGUAUGAGUCUCAAGAACCGUCAUCCAUGUCAGGUAUGUCUCUUGAAGAAAUAGUUGAAUUAAUAGCUACUAGCACAUAUCAAAUUCAACAGGAGGUACAUCAGUUUCAACAGGAGACACAAAAGAUGAGUGAAGAGAUGAAAGAAGGAAGGCGUGAAUGGGCAUCUAAAAUGAGCAAAUUGAUUUCUCCAGUUUAUGAAGAAUUGCCUUCACCGACUAUUAUCGACCAUGAGGAAGAUGAGAGUGCAAUUAUUCUGACAAUUGACAUGGUACUGCAAGGGUCUCAAGAAGAAGAAUCUAAAGAUGCAGUUGAAAAGAAAGUUGAAGCGCAAGAAUUGAGACCCCAACAUCAAAUAGUUCAAGUGAAUGAAUCCAGUGAACAAUCUCCAAAUGCGGUGACAUCUCCUCCAUUCCUUGAUCAAUAUUUUCCUGACUCUUAUUCUUUAAUUCCUGUUGGUGAGAUUGAUUUUAUUAUACCAGAAAAUUUUGAGUUUCAUGACAGGAACAAGUCAAGAGUCACGAUGGCAAAAUAUCUCAAACCAAUAAGUGCUUGUGAUGGAGGGGUGAAUGAAGAUUUAAGGUCAUUACUUGGUUGUUUGGCGCCAUCUACUAGUCCAUGGAAGACCGUAGCUCGUGUGCUCAAAAAUUACUCUACUUACGAGGGCUAUCAAGAUUACAUAGAGGAUGAAGCACUAAAGCGAGCUACGCGAUUUUAUCCUCCAUGAAUAAACAGGACAAUGUCUAGCCAAAGACAUUAAAGAAAGGCGCUACUUGGGAGGCAACCCAAGACUAUUUGUUUCAGUUUUCAUGCAUUUUUGAAGUUUUAGUUAAGUGUUAGUGUCAAUUAAUAGUUUGAUGUUUGGUGGCAGGAAAUUAGCAGUUAGAUGUGCCCACGCCAGGCGGUCACGCCUGAGGGAAAGAAAUUUUCGUUCAGGAUCUGCGGAUUCUAUAGCAGUUAGACGUGCCCACGCCAGGUGGUCACACUUGAGGGAAAGGAAUUUUCGUUCAGGAUCUGCGGACUCUAUAGCAGUUAGACGUGCACGCCUAGGCCAGAGGUUCCUUAUUCUAAAAAAAAAAAAGAGAGAAAAAAAUUUUACAAAAGCAAUUUCAAUUUUUGGAGAAUUUCGGUAAGACUAGUUAAAAAAAAAAACCAUUUUAUUUUAUUUUUCCUCUUUUCUUCUUUCUUUUCUUUCCUUCUUUCUUUCUUCCCUUUUCUUCUUCUUCUCCGCCGCUCCCCUGUUUCCCUCUGUUUCUUCUUUUUCUUUCACGCCGCCUGCCGCUACCACCUCACCCACGCAGCUCGAGUCGCCCAAGCUCCCUUGCGGCCAGGAGUUUCGUAGCACGCAGCUUCACCUCACGGUCCACCGCCAUCUUGCGGCCAAGGCCCGCCGCUGGUCCCCUCUCUUCCAUCGCCAAAUCCACGCUGCACGCCGCCCGUGAGCCAAGCCGACAGCGCGCAGCCCAGCCCGCGCCGCUGCUGCUCUCCACCAGCUUGCCGCCGCCUCUCCCUCAGCUCAAUCCCCCGCCAACAGUCUCCAUCAGCUCGCGACCGCCGCUGCACCGCCACCCUCCACCACGAGCAGCUUCACCUCGCGGCCAGGAGCUGCCACGAGCCCUACAGCGCCGCGCCAGCUUGCAGCGCAGCCCACGUCAAUCGUCCGCCCCCGCUGCUGUCGACCUCCAUCAGCACCACCACCUGAGCCGCACGGGACUCCUGUCUUUGCCGGCCUCUCCUGCAACCGCGCACAUCUCCUCCAUUGCCGCGCGUCACCACCUGCCCAAAAUUGGCAGGUGGAGGUAUUCGAAUUUCCACCUUGAUUAGUAUUUCUCUAGUCCUUAAAUUGCUGGAAUUUGCGUUCUUGUUUCUUGGGCUUCUUGUUGGAAAACAGCAGGCAGUGAUUUUAGACAUUUUCUGGGGCUAAUUUUGGGUAGAAUUGAGUUAAACUGCUGCGAUAUUUGGGGGUACUUUGGGAGUAAGUUGCCAAUUGCUUCUGGCUUUAAUUUCCGCUCAUUUUUGGCACUACUUGGGUGUUCAAAUCUAUUUCGUUUACUAUGUUAGUUAUUUGCUUUAAUUUCUCCCUAUACACUCACCAGUGGUACUGGUGAUAGUAGUUGUUUAACAUCUGAUAAUCUGUGUUCUGGAUUGCCUAAUUAAACGAGUUGUGACUACUGGGCAUUUGUGAUUGAGUCCAUCCUGUGAUUGAGUGUCUGGAUAAAGCAGUGGGUGCUUUAGGCAUUUUCUGGGGGAACUUUUGGGACAGAUUUGGGUUUAAUUGCUGCCAAAGUGGGGGUAUUUUCUGCUAUUUGUUGAAAAGCUGGCCUUUUGAUUACUUUUUCCCUGCGACUCACCAGUGGUACUGGUUGAGGUCUUUUGCCUAUCGUUGUGGCUUAUAUUUGAAGAUAUUUGCUUAUUUUGAAGUUAAGGUUCUUGCAUUUGAGUUGCUGCUAUUGAAUUUAAUUCUUUCCUGUCUGUGCACCAGUGGUACUGGUUGCAGUGUUGCUUUCCAUUUCUUAAUCCUCUGUGCUGGACUGCCUAUUCGAUUCUUGAGUUUUGGUGCCUGAACUGUCUCUCGAUUCUUACCAUUAGUUGCUGGAAUUACUGGUUUCUUGGCCAAAUUGCUAAUUUUGAGCGUUUGACUUGGGUAUUUGACUGUCCAACUGGUGACAUUUAUUGCGCUUCAAUCAAUUGAAUUCAUUUGCUCUGUUGGUAUCCCUGUCGGUAUCACUUGAGUUCUAUUUUGCUAGUUUCUGUCUUGCGUCCUUUGAAGUGCCUUUGGUUGGGUAUUUUCUUCAUUUGUUUGUUGAAUUGGAAGGCUACUGUGCCACUUCCAUUGCUUAUUGCAGUUGGUGGCGUCUAAUUGACUUGCUGGGAGUAUUUUACCUAUUGAUUUCAAUUGCUAAAUCUUUAGAGAAUUUGUUGCGAUUUGCAUUUUGUUGAUUGGGUUGUCUACUAGGAAGGCACCAGUGGCUAUUAAAUUUUUAUUGCUUUGAAUUUGCUAAGUGGCCUCUCCCACCGAUGGCCUCUGAUGCUAAGUGGCGCCACUUGCAAGAUCAGGUUCACCACGCGGAUGAGCAAGUAACGCAUAUCGCCAGCCAGAUGGCUCCAAUGUCUAAGAACCUGGCCGCGUACUUCCACCAUAUCUGCUUCACUCCCCCGUUCCUGCCUAUUCCGUAGCCGCUUGAGAGGGAAGUUUCAUUUUUCUCUUCAUUUUAAUUGCUAUAUUACCUCCAUCGAGGGCAAUGUCGGACUUAGGUGUGGGGGGGACAGCUGUGGUACAGCUAGUAUUUCUAAUUUUUAGUUUUUACAUGUUUUCCUUUAUUUUUGUUAUUUGUUCUAGUUUUCGUUUAUUUUCUUUUCUUUUUUCUAGUGGUCAGUCUUCUAUAACUACCAAGUUUUGAUGCUGGAUUGUUGCCUCUAAUUCUGCUAUUGCCAAGUUUUAUUAAUAAAAGGGUAUUAAGUUAAUGUGGUUGAGCUCAGGAACAUCUCUUUGGUGAAUAUCAAUACUUGCUUAACUUUUCCAAUUUUUGGUUAACUUUUCUAGGCAUAGGGAAUGAUUGUUGGCAUUCUUCAUGUGAAUUGGUCCAAUUAUUAAUUUUAGUUCUCCAUGUUUGAAAUUUGAGGCUGGCUGCUGUUAUUUUUAGUUAUUGUGCUAUAUGAUUGUAAAUAAGAGGUGACUGUACUCCGCUAGUUAUCACUACUGAGUAACCGGGGAUCUUCACCUAAACUGUCGAUUCUCGCGUCAAAAGGUAGUAAUUGCUAUGAGUGCGUGGUCCUGUAGCGAUUAGAGCUGAAUAACCGGGCUCCUCCAUCUGUCAAAUGUUGGAGUUCGCGUCAAAAGGCUCUAAGGGCUAUAGACUAAGUCUUUUGCUAUUCAAAAAACAAAAAACAAAAAACAAAAAACAAAAAACAAAAAAAGAAGUGAAGUAAAGAUUGUGUUAGUAUGUGAAUAAAUCAGCUUGCCGGUUUGUGAUCUUAAUGUCGAGAUUUUGGUUAAUAGUUGGACCAUUUGCUGAUAAAUGUGAGCAACCAUUCCUUCUUCUUAGAUUAGUUUGCUUUAAAUUGGAGAAGUUGGUGGUUUAGAGGCUAACCGGGUUGAUUUUUCUUGGAUAUUGACCUGUGAUGCUUGAUAUUUAUUUUUCUUGGGCAUCUUGGCAAUACGGUAGUUGGAGCAGUAGCCAUUGUCAAAUUUUGGUGUUCAAUUGCUGUUCCCAUGCUUGAGGGCAAGCAUGAUUCAGGUGUGGGGGGAAUUGAUAGGGUGUAAAUUGUUGGUUAUUUUAUUGUUAAUUUCCCCUUUUAUCCUUGCCAAAUAUUGUUUUAAUUAUUAAUAUUUACUUAUAUUUGGUAUUGGACCCAAUUUCAGGGAUUGAAGCAGAAAAUUACCAAAAAGGAGGGACUUGUAUGGAAAAAUGCAGACUUCUAAGGACUUCAACCUUUGGGUCCUUGAAUUGGUGGGGACCACAAGCUAGUGCAAGGCAUUUAGUCAUUUGGGCUUUUCAAAGAGAGCAACGUAGAGAGAUUUGGAACAACAAGUACUUUGGAGGCUUUGUCCACAUGUGCGGGGACCACGGAUAAGAAGCAUGAGUCAUUUGGACUCUAGGAAAAGAAACGUACAAGACUUUGAAUUUGGUGUGGGGACCACUAGAGAUAGCAUUAGACUUCCUUUUGGCUUUAAAAAGGGAGAAACGUACGGGAGGUUAUCAAUCAAUAGUUUAGUUUAGGUUUUUAGCAUAGUUUUAGUUUUUCUUUUCUUAGCUCUUUCGCAUGGUUGUUCUCCAUUAAUGGAGAACUAACCUCUUAAUUCUAGUCAAGGGGACAACUGAAGAUUUGGUUCAACAAUUACUGUGAGAUCGAAUCUGUUUUAAUUAUUUUCUUCAUUUAUUGGUAUUUAUAUGUUCCUUGAUUUUAAUUGUUAUGGCCUUGUGUAUGAUUGAUUAGUGCGCAAUAAUUAAUUAUUCAUAUAGGCUAUUUUGCUAAAUAGAGGUAAUUGAAUCCGUAAUUGUUCGUUAUCUCUAUCUUAGUAGCAACUGGCGUAAUUGGGUUUAUGUCAGGGGAGCAUACGAUCUAGCUUAAACAAACCCUCGUAGCGUGUUUGUUAGUUAGGAUUGGGCCUUUCUAAUUAAUAAUGCAACCUAAGAAUUAAAUCCUACGGUCGUACUUAGGGUUGUUUUUGGGUUAGAGAAAUAGCUAACGGUCGUACCUUAGCUAUCGAUAAAUUAAUGAAGGGUUGGUUGUUUAUCGCGUGCAUGACAACUAUAACCAAUCUAUUAAUAAAUGUUGGGAUUAUUUUUGCAUCAAUGAUCAGUGCAUGAACCAUUUCUGAAGUAUAUCCUUGGCUAGAGUUUCUCUUAGUUAUUUCUUUUAAUUAAUUAUUUUCUGCAGUUAAUUUAUUUAGUUAGCUUUUAAUCCAAAACCCCCCAUACUUUGGACUCUAGAAGAAACGAAUUAUCCCCAAUCUCUGUGGAUUCGACCCUACUCACCGCUAUAUACAAAAUCUGUAUUUUUCUCGAAUAGGUAUUUAUUAUUGCACGGGUUCGGCACCUGUCAGUUUGCAUCGAGGUGGAGAAGAUCUCAAUUACAUACAAGCAAUUAACAGCAGAAGAAACAUAGCUUUAAUAUCUGAUUCUAGUAAUGGUUUCUGGCAAAGAAUACGUUGUCCUUCACGAGUAAUGUUUCUAGAAACAAUCUUCAUAUUUUUUGUGUUUAAAAUAACUUGAAGAAUACGGCAAAAGUAAACUUUGGUUUGUGGACUGAUGAGUAAACACUAUGAAAUGAUGAGUAAAUAUCAACACUAUAUGUCUGGAAAGAGAGGAAUUACAUUUUUUUAGCAACAAGGUUACUAAAAUUGGGGGUUAUUAUAACUUUAUCCCUUUAAACUAUAGUGCUAAUAUCAAUUUACCUUUUUAACAUUAUUUUGCAGGCAUUUGACCUCGCAGUUAUUCUCCUUUUUCAUUCUAAGAGGACCAAGAAAAAAUGCAAAAGGGUUCCCUUUUUUUUUCAUUCUCAACUAUUAAGAAAAAAAAAGAAAUUGAAUAGAGGUUGACAGAAAACUCAAUUUCAGAAAAAAGGAAAAUAAAGAAGAAUCCAAUAUUAUAAUUAAUUUAAAAUAAGUUAGAGUGGGCGGUAGGGGUGAAGAGUAAGUAGCAAUUUUAAAAUAAUAAGCACAUUGGAUUCUUUAUUAUUUUUAUUUUCUUUUUUUAAAAUUGAGUUAUCUCUCUAUUUUCUUAUUUUAAGUAUUGAUAAGUACACGAGGAAAAAAAGAAGAAGACAUUUUUUUUUGACUUUUUCCCCUUGUUAUUAAAGAGGGUGGAAAAAAGGGAGAAGACACUUUUUUAUUUUUUUUCUUGGUAUUAAAAGGGUGAAAAAGGGGGAAAAAACCAUUCCAAUUUUUUUUUAUUUUUAAUCAUACAGGAGAGGGAUGUAUUUCUUCUAAAAUAUUAGGUAAAUUAUAUAUAAUUUUCUGUAUUUUCAUCUAUUGCCACAUGAUCUCCAAAACAUUUUAGGGUUAUAUGCAGCUGAUGUAAGGGAAAAAAUUCAUAUUAAUACCUCAAAUUUCCCUUAAGGAGUUUUUAUAUUUAAAUCAAAUUAUUCAAUGAAUAUAUUUUUGUUUUUCUCCUAGUCUUAAAGAGUCUUGCCACAGGCCUAAAUCAUUUCCGCUAUAUUGCUUUGGCCAAAUUUACAAUCGUAUAUUUGUGUUUGUAGCCGUUGAUUGAACUUUGGUCUUAGGAAAAAUGAUAACAAAUGGAAAGAGUGAGAUACAAGUCAAUUAAAAAACAUGAUUAACACUAGAAUUUGUGAGACAUGGAGACUUGGAUUAUAAAAAGGAUAAGAAAACUUGAAUAGGUGAAAAAGGGUGGAUUAAAACUAUACGAAAGAAGUAGCAUAACAGUGAUAUAGCAUUUGGUGAUGGGAAGAUUCUUGGUGAUGUGUUUUUUAAGUUUGAUAGGCAUUUUAUUACUUUUGGGAAGAUUAUUAUAAUCAUUUUGAGUCCUUAACAAAAGCACGGAAGUGUAAUAUUUGAAUAUAGAGGUGGGCAACAUGAGAUUAUUAGAAAUCUUAGAAGAAGUUUUUGAAAAUAUCCUUUGCUGUAAUACUAUUCUUUUUUUUUUUCCUACCUUGUGAUUAUUGAUUUCCACAUUCACACUCAAAAUGCUAAGGCAAAAAGCAAAAUUCAAGGAUGAAAAAUGAAAGAAAAAGAGACAAGGUUAUAAACAUGGGGAAAGACUCUAGAUUUGAUUAAUGCUAAAAUAUUAUAAAAUGAUUAUAGCAUUUCUUUUUCAUUUUUUAUGAGUGACACUUUUUUAAAAAAAAAAAUUUAGUAGGGGAAUGAUGGGAUUUAAAAAGCGAAAAAAGAAUAGGGAGAUCAAAAUUCAGGAUCUCUAAUUCCUGGGAGUAACAUGAUAAUAUUAUUUCUAAAAACCCAAAAUCAAAUCCUAUUGGUGUAAUAUAAAGGAAUUCGGAUGAUCGAACUGUUUAAAACAUAAAAUACUUCUUAAUUAUAAUAUCUUAUUCAGGAUAAGAAAACUUGAAUAGGUGAAAAAAGGUGGAUUAAAACUAUACGAAAGAAGUAGCAUAACAGUGAUAUAGCAUUUGGUGAUGGGAAGAUUCUUGGUGAUGUGUUUUUUAAGUUUGAUAGGCAUUUUAUUAUAAUCAUUUUGAGUCCUUAAAAAAAGCAUGGAAGUGUAAUAUUUGAAUAUAGAGGUGGGCAACAUGAGAUUAUUAGAAAUCUUAGAAGAAGUUUUUGAAAAUAUCCUUUGCUAUAAUACUAUUCUUUUUUUUUUCCUACCUUGUGAUUAUUGAUUUCCACAUUCACACUCGAAAUGCUAAGGCAAAAAGCAAAAUUCAAGGAUGAAAAAUGAAAGAAAAAGAGACAAGGUUGUAAACAUGGGGAAAGACUCUAGAUUUGAUUAAUGCUAAAAUAUUAUAAAAUGAUUAUAGCAUUUCUUUUUCAUUUUUUAUGAGUGACACUUUUUUUAAAAAAAAUGUAGUAGGGGAAUGAUGGGAUUUAAAAAGCGAAAAGAGAACAGGGAGAUCAAAAUUCAGAAUCUCUAAUUCCUGGGAGUAACAUGAUAAUAUUAUUUCUAAAAACCCAAAAUCAAAUCCUAUUGGUUUAGUAAUAUAAAGGAAUUUGGAUGAUUGAAGUGUUUAAAACAUAAAAUACUUCUUAAUUAUAAUAUCUAAUUCAUUAGUCGAAUGUGGAAUCUUAUGUUUGUUGCCCCUUUCUUUUUUGCUUUGGAUUUGGGUUUUUGGCGUUGAAUUUUGAGUAUGAAUUGAGUAAGAUUUUUUUUUUUUUUUUUAAGAAUUAAUCUUUUUUUUUUAAAUUAUUUAUUUUAUUGAUAGGAGCAAAUUUUACACACUGAGAAAGACCAAUUCGAAGUACAGCAAUCGACUGAAAAGGUAAUAAAUCAAACACAAAACCUCCAUGUCUCGUUGCAUAUUAGCUCCAGUUGUCCUUUGUUCUGCCCUUCAUACGCUUAUUUUUCCGAAUUGAAGGCAUUCCUAAUCUAUCAAGUCGAAUGGCCCCACGAGCCAUAGUUGGGAACCAAUUAAAGGCCUCGUAAAGCUUGACUUGAAUUGAGUAAGAUUAUAGCAUGAGAAGGUUCAUCAUGUUCAUUUAAUUAAGGUCUUCCUGCAUUUAAAAUGGGAGCUUACAUGACAUAAAAAAAGAUUAAAAUGGUAAUACUUUACAAAAGAGCAUCAUAGUGGGAACAUUUUUCCUAAAAAAGGUCACUUCAGAACUAAAUUCCGUGAAUCCCUGGUUUCAUGUGGGUUUUCUUUUCAUGGACGUACGUGAUUAACAUCAUGUCUCUUAUCAUUUCGAUGAGGAUUAUUAACAUCCAAGUCCUAGAGCCUGAUUGCAUUAGUACUAUCCUUGGCCUUGGGUAUAAUAUCACAAGUUCCUCCCUGUAAAUGUUGCAAUGCGUUUUAAGAGAGUGAGAAUUAAGUAUAUCACGGGGAAAAAAAAAAUUAAUGGCAAAGUAACUUACCAGAACAACCAACAGAUGGAGGAGGAUAAUCCAACAAGCAAGUCCUUUGGAAUCCAUCAAUUGGUAGGUUUUAUAUCCCUUGCAACUCCUCCUUUGAAGGAUUAGGCAACAGCAGAAGCAAAUGCCAAAUAUUACAUAUGGAUGAAAAGUGUGCUUGAUUAGAAGGUUCUUUUUCAAAUAGUCGAUUAAAUUAUGACCCCUUGAAAGAUAGUGUUUCUUAUUGAGGUUGAAAAAUGAACCAAAUUACUUGAUACUCAAAUCAGAUUUGGCUAAAUAAAAGUUUGUUUGAACUUAAUUUGCCAACUAAUCAAAUCAAAAUUUAAGAAGUAUUAUUAUGUGUUAGAUUAACUAUCAAAUUUGGCAUUAACUUGGCUUGAUAAACAUAAAAUUAGAAUUUACAAGUAAAAAAUUCAAAUUACUCAAGUUCGACUCAUGCUCGAUUCUAUAAAAAAGCUCAUUUGAGUUUGCCUUAAUUAAUAAACAAGUCAAGUUUGAAGACCUUCCUCUUAAAAAAAUUUUAAAAAAAUCAAGUUUGAGUACAGUUUCAAGUUUAUUAAAUAAUCUAACAAGUUUGAAUACUACAACAUUGAAUCUAGUAGAUCUAGACAAAAUCACUAAAUUUAUUUUAGACCACAACUGUAGAUUGUUUAGAAAACAAGGACCAAAAUGUAGACCUACCCACAUGAUGCAAACCAACCAGCCACGUGAUCCAUGUUGUAACCUUGCUAGCUUCACUUAGCUAUCGCCUUGUAUAAAUAGCCGUAUAGCCCCCAAGAGUCUUUUCACCACCAAAGUUACAUUUUGAGUCUGUUCAUAGGCAAGGCAUGGCUUCAUCUAUCACUCUGAUCGCAGUCUUUUCAAUUGCCCUGGUAAGGUUUCUCAACCAUCAAUACUGUACUUGAAGUAGUAGUUCAUAUGAGAUAAUUGCUAGACUGUAUAGGAAUACUGAUGAAACCCGUGAAUUAAAGCUACCUGAGAAAACACAUUCUUCUUCCUUUUUGCACAUUUAUCUGCAGCUCUAACCAUCGCCACUGAAGGAAUGGAAGCUCUUCAGAUGGUUCUGUAGUUCUAUUCUCAUAAAAGCUUGACUUCCAAACAUUACCAAUGCUGGUACCAUACUUAAACGUCAAUGUAACUUGAGUAAUGGCAUAUGACACUAUUUACCAUUUUUUAGUUAGAGGAUUCAUCCGGGAAAGAUUGAAAGUCAAAUCAAGAACCUUAAAAUCAACAUAAGGAAUAUUCCUGUUGCCAGUUGAGCUCGUAUUUGGAAAUUAACUAUCCUUCCCUACUAGGGGUCAUCUUUUACGGUGCUACCAUCAACGUACCUAUAUUGACGUUAGUUUCUUUUAUGUUAAUAUUUGCACAAAUGUGCAGUUUGCAUGCAUCACGGAAGCAAGGAAGAAUCCUACGGACUUUUUGCAAUCUGCUGUCAUUAACGAGCAUACUGAGGACAAUCACCAUGCAGAGUCGUCCCUUUCCAAUCAGAAGAAGACAAGUAAUGGUAACACAUUGAAGGAUUUCGAGUCGAAACCCGGCUCCUUUCUCUGGGGGUAUCAAGGCAACGACGCUGAGUCUAAGUCUAAGGAGGAGAAGCCUCUUAUGAAAGGCUUUGAGUCAAAGCCCGGCUCCUUUCUUUGGGGGUAUCAGGGCAACGACGCUGAAUCUAAGUCUAAGGAGGAGAAGCCUCUUAUGAAAGGCUUUGAGUCGAAGCCCGGCUCCUUUCUCUGGGGAUAUCAAGGCAACGACGUUGAGUCUAAGUCUAAGGAGGAGAAGCCUCUUACGAAAGACUUUGAGUCAAAGCCCGGCUCCUUUCUCUGGGGGUAUCAAGGUCCUCUUAUGAAAGACUUUGAGUCGAAGCCUGGCUCCUUUCUCUGGGGGUAUCAAGGCAACGACGCUGAGUCUAAGUCUAAGGAGGAGAAGCCUCUUAUGAAAGACUUUGAGUCGAAGCCCGGCUCCUUUCUCUGGGGGUAUCAAGGCAACGAUGCUGAGUCUAAGUCUAAGGAGAAGAAGCCUCUUAUGAAAGACUUUGAGUCGAAGCCCAGCUCCUUUCUCUGGGGGUAUCAAGGCCCUCUUAUGAAAGACUUUGAGUCAAAGCCCGGCUCCUUUCUCUGGGGGUAUCAAGGCAACCACGCUGAGUCUAAGUCUAAGAAGGAGAAGCCUCUUAUGAAAGACUUUGAGUCGAAGCCCGGCUCCUUUCUCUGGGGGUAUCAAGGCAACCACGCUGAGUAUAAGGAGAAGAAACCACUCGUGAAAGAUAAUUAAUGUCCAGGGAAGCCGCAAC
rnacentral:lncRNA from 1 species